rnacentral:rRNA from 1 species
UACGAAGGGGGCUAGCGUUGUUCGGAAUUACUGGGCGUAAAGCGCGCGCAGGCGGUCUUCCAAGUCAGUGGUGAAAUCCCGGAGCUCAACUCCGGAACUGCCUUUGAUACUGGUCGUCUAGAGAUCGGAAGAGGUGAGUGGAAUUCCCAGUGUAGAGGUGAAAUUCGUAGAUAUUGGGAAGAACACCAGUGGCGAAGGCGGCUCACUGGUCCGAUACUGACGCUGAGGUGCGAAAGCGUGGGGAGCAAACAGG